rnacentral:rRNA from 1 species
GUGUCAGCCGCCGCGGUAAUACAGAGACCACAAGCGUUAUCCGGAUUUAUUGGGCGUAAAGGGUCCGCAGGUGGCCUUACACGUCGUGGGUUAAAUUUCGGGGCUCAACCCUGAAACCGCCCACGAUACGGUUCGGCUCGAGGCUGGGAGAGGUACGCGGAAUUACCGGUGUAGUAGUAAAAUGCGUUAAUAUCGGUAAGAACACCAAAUGCGAAGGCAGCGUACUGGAACAAGCCUGACACUCAGGGACGAAAGCGUGGGUAGCGAAAGGGAUUAGAAACCCGCGUAGUCC